AUGCUAUCGGUAGCACGGUGCGCUCCGUGCUACUAAGUUGUUUUCAAUGAUGCGGCUUCCAAAUCGACGAUUGGCUCCGUUAGACUUGAUCUAUACUAUUGAAAGUAUUUGAAAACUAAAUUUCAGAUUUUUUCGACAUCAUUUGACUAGUGAUCAAAAGAUCUCAAAAUUGACAAUUUUAAUAGCCGAUGUGGUGUGUUUGUGAGUUUAACGCUAUAAAACAAUCCAAAUGCGAUGAAAAUUUUAUAGAAUUUUCACUAUUUAGAGUAAGAUCAGUAUAUCUGAUCUUGAAUUUAAAUCUUUUAUCAUCAUUUUUCAUGAGAUUUUUAUUUUCGGUCGUUCAAUUUUAGACUACUUGUUUGAUAGGUAAAUGAUAUUGAAAAAUUAUGAAAUUUAGUUUCUAAAUACUUUCAAUAGUGUAGA
rnacentral:lncRNA from 1 species